CCUACGGGAGGCAGCAGUGAGGAAUAUUGGUCAAUGGACGAGAGUCUGAACCAGCCAAGUAGCGUGAAGGAUGACUGCCCUAUGGGUUGUAAACUUCUUUUAUAUGGGAAUAAAAUGUUCCACGUGUGGGAUUUUGUAUGUACCAUGUGAAUAAGGAUCGGCUAACUCCGUGCCAGCAGCCGCGGUAAUACGGAGGAUCCGAGCGUUAUCCGGAUUUAUUGGGUUUAAAGGGAGCGUAGGUGGAUUGUUAAGUCAGUUGUGAAAGUUUACGGCUCAACCGUAAAAUUGCAGUUGAAACUGGCAGUCUUGAGUACAGUAGAGGUGGGCGGAAUUCGUGGUGUAGCGGUGAAAUGCUUAGAUAUCACGAAGAACUCCGAUUGCGAAGGCAGUUCACUGGACUGCAACUGACACUGAGGCUCGAAAGUGUGGGUAUCAAACAGGAUUAGAUACCCCUGUAGUC
rnacentral:rRNA from 1 species